UUAGAAAGUUACAUCUCUCUUGAAUCCAUUCUUAAAGGCCUUCAAGGACUCAGGCACAGCCUUGGGAAACCAGGAAAUGUGACUGUGUCAAUCACCACACAGUCCAACUUCCUUUUCGUGUAGGAAAUGUUUUCUUUAUCAUUAAUUGAUCAGUUCUCCCCUUUCCAAACUUCUGGCAAUUUGGGAAAUGGAAUCUUUAUGUUGCUGGGUAUUUUCUCCUUCCACACCUCCUUCUCCUUGCUGGACAGGAGGGGAGGGCAGAAGACGUGUUUGUGGCCACAUUCCCGGUGUGGCCCGCCUGGACAGGAGCCAGGGUGCACACUGACCUGCACAGCCUCUGGCCUCUGUCCCUGGGCCUGAGAGGCAGGAGCAAGGGGCCUGUCCUCACUCUGAAUCCAACUGCUGGUGACUCAGGGCACCCUGCUGGACCCUCCAGGAGAAGUUGGGGCCCACGUUUCUAGGCUGCCCACUCAUCCAAACCUCCCUCCAUGUCCCUGACCAAAGCAUUUCGCAGAUCUGGGUCCUCUGGUGUGUGAGGCUCCUCCCAGCCCAUGAGCAUUGGAAAAUGUCUACAAGAUCUUUGCCAUUUUAGGUUCUACCGAGGCUAAAGAAUGUAUGUUUCCUCUGCUUAGACUUAAGUUUUUGAGUAACUUUAUAGACACUUUGGCAUUUUGGCUGAAAGGGCAUGUGCAGUAACUGAAUAUGACUUGUGCACUGUUUCAGUGCCAGUGGGUCACAUGCAGGGGAGUCAGAGCCAAGGUGGAUGAGGCUGGGAUAUCUACAUGCUUGGUGGGGAGUUGGAGUCAGGGUGGAUGAGGCUGGGAUAUCUACAUGCUUGGUGGGGAGUCGGAGCCAGGGUGGAUGAGGCUGGGAUAUCUACAUGUUUGGUGGGGAGUUGGAGUCAGGGUGGAUGAGGCUGGGAUAUCUACAUGCUUGGUGGGGAGUCGGAGCCAGGGUGGAUGAGGCUGGGAUAUCUACAUGCUUGGUGGGGAGUUGGAGCCAAGGUGGAUGAGGCUGGGAUAUCUACAUGCUUGGUGGGGAGUCGGAGUCAGGGUGGAUGAGGCUGGGAUAUCUACAUGUUUGGUGGGGAGUUGGAGUCAGGGUGGAUGAGGCUGGGAUAUCUACAUGCUUGGUGGGGAGUCGGAGUCAGGGUGGUUGAGGCUGGGAUAUCUACAUGCUUGGUGGGGAGUCGGAGCCAAGGUGGAUGAGGCUGGGAUAUCUACAUGCUUGGUGGGGAGUUGGAGUCAGGGUGGAUGAGGCUGGGAUAUCUACAUGCUUGGUGGGGAGUCGGAGCCAGGGUGGAUGAGGCUGGGAUAUCUACAUGCUUGGUGGGGAGUCGGAGCCAGGGUGGAUGAGGCUGGGAUAUCUACAUGCUUGGUGGGGAGGAGGAGCCAAGGUGGAUGAGGCUGGGAUAUCUACAUGCUUGGUGGG
rnacentral:lncRNA from 1 species